rnacentral:SRP_RNA from 1 species
GCUGGGCGUGCUGGAGUGUGCCUGUAGUCCCAGCCACUCAGGAGGCUGAGGCAGGAGGAUCACUUGAGCCCGGGAGUUCUGGGGCUGUAGUGCACUAUGCUAAUCUGGUGUCCACACUAAGUUCGGCAUCAAUAUGUUGACCUGGGAGAGGGAGACCACCAGGUUGCCUAAGGAGAGGUGAACCAGCCCAGGUUGGAAAUGGAGCAGGUCAAAAACUCCCAUGCUGAUCAGCAGUGGGAUCACACUGCAUGCACUCCAGCCCGGGCAACAUAGCGAGACCCUGUCUCUA